UACAGAGGGUGCGAGCGUUAAUCGGAUUUACUGGGCGUAAAGCGUGCGUAGGCGGCUUUUUAAGUCGGAUGUGAAAUCCCCGAGCUUAACUUGGGAAUUGCAUUCGAUACUGGGAAGCUAGAGUAUGGGAGAGGAUGGUAGAAUUCCAGGUGUAGCGGUGAAAUGCGUAGAGAUCUGGAGGAAUACCGAUGGCGAAGGCAGCCAUCUGGCCUAAUACUGACGCUGAGGUACGAAAGCAUGGGGAGCAAACAGGAUUAGAAACCCCUUGUAGUCC
rnacentral:rRNA from 1 species